rnacentral:sRNA from 1 species
UUUUUUUUUGAGCGGUCAAUAAGAUGAUUAUAAAUAAGCUACCACCUGUUGCAGAAAAAAAGCUACCGUAGCCAAUCAGGUUGAAGGAACAACUUCCAAACACCUUGAACCAAUAAGAGAAUGACAACCAAUAAAAUCAAUAAUCUAAAAGGCCCAAAUAAUCUAAAGGGAUUGAAUGGCAUUUUGGUAAUUUAUCCGAAAAACAUUAGGGUUUCCAUCAAGAGUAUAUAUAUUUCGUCAUUCUGAACCAGAUCUAACUCUUUCUCCUCCUUCAAUCAUAGUUAAUAGUUUCUUUUCACUUUUGAAGUUUAAUUAGAUUUGAGGUAGAAAAUGAGGAAUGGCUCUCUAUAAUCGAGUCAACAGCGGGAGCUUAAUUCAUAGUUAUCUGACUGCCGCUUAGAGCCUAAAUUAAAAUACCAGAUGAAGAUCCUUGAAAUUAAACUCAAUUUCUUUCAAGACACAAUUUUCUGGAAUCUCUCUAAAGACUUAUUUUAAACCUCUUACUCUGUGCCAUAUGACUUUCUACUAGAGCAACAUAACAUCUUCUACAAAAUUAUCAUAGAAACUCAACAUUCCUUUGGAAGUCCCACAGGUUAAGGAUUCAUCACAAAUAGUUCAGAAAACAGAACAUAACAUCUAAAAAAAUAUAUCCAAUAUGUCUAUUAAAUUCAACAAUAGUUACGGUGUUAUCUAUAGUUAACCACGAUUUUCAUUCAUUCUCUUAUAAUUGUAUAUUCUAACCACGUUUUUGUUACGGUAUUAUUAAAUAAGUAAACUAAUAUCGUAAGUUAACAACAAAUUUAUUGAGUGAUUUAGUAGUGGUUAGUGUUUUAGAUGUUAAUUUUUUAUACAAUUUUGACAUGUAUUAACUAACCAUUGGAUUAUCACAAUAAAAUUUAUGCGUCUCUAUACAUCAAAAUCUAAAUCACAUAUCCUAUUGAGUAACAAUAAAUAAAAAAAUAAACAAUGCGGAGGUGUCACUAAACUUCUACUUUAGACCCUUUUAAAGAACUACGUAAAAUCAUCGUGGGAGGAGGAAGGAGAAGAUAAAAUAAAAGAAGCAAGGCCUAAGUGAAGAACAAUUGGAUUGAUGUUUUUCACUAAUCAUAAUAAAAAUAAAUAUGGUAGUAUAUGAUUGUAAUCAGUACGAAACCUUAUGAUUGAAAUUAAAAAACAACUCCCUACAACCUUGCUAGAAGAAGAAUGUCAAGUAAUAAGAGUUUGGUUUCCAUGAAAAUCAAUAGGUAAACUCUUUUUUUUUAGGAUUAGAUGUAACUAUAUAAACUUGAUAUAUCCAAUAUGUCUAUUUGAUUUGUUUUUAAUACUAUUACACCGUGUUUUCAUGUCUAUUAUUGUUUCUAAUUCAUAUUUGGUUUGAUACUUAAUUCAUGAUUUAAUGUUUGAAUGUGUAAUGAAAAUAUCAUGUUUAAACCAAGCCUAGAGUAUGUCAUCGAAUAACAUGUUAUUUCUAGGAAUAUAAUUAAUUGAUAUAUUCUUUAAAAUACCAUCCAAUUUAAAUAGGAAUUUGGAGAUAAUUUUGUAAUUAGUACUGUAAUUAUGUCAUUUUUAUAAAUAGGAAAUUGAAGAAAAUUUUGUAUUAUUAGUGUAACUACGUAAUUAUGAUUGUAAUUAUUGUAGGAAUUUGGAGAAACUAUAUCCAUAAUUAUUUGGAUAUAAUUUUGUAAUUAUUACUAUAAUUACACAAUUAUUGUAGGAAUUUGGAGAAAAUAUAUCAAUAAUUAUUAAUUUUAAACUGAAAAAAUGAUAGACAAUAAAUUUUGUAAUUAUUAUUGUAAUUAAGUAAUUAUUUCUCUAAUUAUUGUUGGAAUUUGGAGAAAGUAUAUCCAUAGUUACUAAUUUUAAACUGAAAAAAUGAUAAAUGUCUAUUUUGUGCUCUAAAUGUUUAAUUAGUAAUUACUAAUUUCUAAAUGAUAAUUACUAAUUCUAAAUGAUAAUUACUAAUUUCUAUAAUGAUAAAUGUCUAUUUUGUGCUCUAAAUGUCUAAUUUCUAUAAUGAUAAAUUCUAUAGUGAUAAAUGUCUAAUUAGUAAUUACUGAAUGAUAAUUACUAAAUUCUAUAAUGAUAAAUGUCUAUUUUGGGCUCUAAAUGUCUAAUUUCUAUAAUUUUGUGCUCUAAAUGAUAAUUACUAAUUUUUAUAAUUGUGUGCUCUAAAUGUCUAUUUUGUUUCAUCUUUGACAUGUUAUGUUGGGCUAAGAUUUUGAUGAUUAAAUAUAUUAAAAUGUUAGUUAAGAUUUUGAUGAUUAAAUAUAUUAAAAUAGAUGAUAUUAUUCUUUAUUUCAAAGUGUCUAGUAUAAUUUAGUAAAUAUUUAAAUUAAAUGUAAAGUUAAUAUUUAGUAAUAAUUCUGAGUAAUGUUUAAAAUUAUAUCAAAUCAGAACCAAAUAUAGGUAAAUAGAAAGGUAAACCAUAAUUAGAGUACAUACCUAAGAUAGAAGACUGAAAGUUAGUAUACUCACAACAAUUGAUCAACUUUGCAAUAUACUACCUACAAAUGUUAAAAACUUUAGUCUUUAAAAUCACUAAAAAAAAUCAAAGCUUAGAGUAAAGACAUAAUAAUCAAAAACCAUGUCAAAAAUACAAUAUAAAGUGCAAACAAAACCAUGUAAGUUUCAGUUCCAACAAAAUACUAACCCCAAAAUAUAUUA